GCCGUGGGAGUCGAGGCGCGGCGCCAUUUUGUUUGCUGUGAGGGCUGCCGGGGGCGGUGCGCCGCGGAAAGGGAACAGGCAUGGGCUGCCCGACGGAAAGGAGUCCGUCCUGCCAGGACCAGAUGUGUUCAGAAAUGGUGUGUUCGAGCAGGGGCUGCACUACACCUCAGGAACUGCAGAGCAGCACAAGGCAGCUGGAGCUUCUAGAUCCAGCAUUUUGUGUACGAGUGAAAAGUCUUCUUGGAUAAUUAAGACUGUGUCUAAAGUCACAGUUACAGUAUGCUGAUCUAUAAGGAAACUCAGGUCUAAUGGACAGGCCCAUCCCAGAGGAGGCCACAUCCUCGUUCAUGGCACACGUCUUUGUCCCCUGCUCUGAGCUGCCUUCAGAGGACACCAACUGCUCUCCGCUGUCUGCCCAGGAAGUUGGAAAGGAGGAGCCUCUCAAGCCAGGUCAGGAGUGACGUUUUGUGGCACAUGAUUACUGAACAUCCAUCCGUGUAUUUCUGUGAGGAAACUUCACUGGGACAAUAUAAACAUCUGCUUAAAGCUCAAGUAUUGUAUCAAACAAGGAAAACAGCAACACACCUUGGAACGGGCAGUCAGAGAGCCAGUCCCUCACGUGUGCUGCUGCUGCAGAUGGAGUCACAGCAAUACAGAGGCUGCAAAAGGCUCAGAAACUGCACAGGGAUUUACAAAGCCAGGAAUGAAGAUGAGCACAGAGAUAAACUGUUUGCACAGCACAGGACGGGGUUGGGAACGGAAAAAAAGGAACUUCAGCAGGGACCAUCAGUGGUGGAAAUGCUCAGUUUGAAGACCACAAGCCAGGCUGCAAAAUUAAUUUCUCAAUAAUGUCAUCUCCAGUGUGUCACUUGGAACAGCAGCAAAGACACUUCCAGCUCUUCCUUUGUUAAAGAAGCUCCCUCAGCCUUUGCAUUCCCCACCAUCUCCUUGGGAUCGAGUCCCCAGCGUCAGACCUUGCCCUCCUGUCAACACUGAGCAACAAAUCUCUGAACAGCAGCAGAAGAUCCACAUGAGCAUCCUGGAGGCAACACACGAGCCACAGGACCCUGCUGUUCUAGAGGACAAUGGAGCCCCUCUUCUGUCAGGCAGCAGAACACACACAGUCUGUUCUCGGGAAGAACAGGAGCCAGGAAGGACAAGAAGAACAUUGCAGGACACCAGCAAAGGACUCAAACCUUUCUGCAAGCACCUCGUCCACAUUCCAGCUCUGCCCAGGAAAGGUCAGGAUGGGCACUGCAAAGGAGAACUGUGAGCAAGGCAACAGCCCAGCAUGGCCCAAGGAUUCUCUGUCCUCUCCCAUUCCAUGGUGUUUCAGAGGGAGACCACCGGAGACAGAAGGUAAUUUAGCUACGGAAUAAAGCCCAAAAAUCCAAAGAGCAACAUGUUUACUCACUCCUAUAAUUCAUAAGGAUUCCUGUGCAGGUUUUUUGUUAAGGGACAUGAAUUGAGGUUUUCAGGGAAGUUCAAUGGGAACACUGUCCCUCUGUGAGCUGGAUCAGACACGAACUGGGACUGUUCUCUGCCAUCAGUGCUCCGUGAAAAACUUGCACGUAAGAAGGAAAAACUACACAAGUGCCAAGAAAGGCAGAAGUACAACUGAAAAAAUAUUGUCUCUGGCCUUGUAGCUUGUAUCAAUUAUUGCUUUUAACAAAAGAUUAUCAGUAAAUAUCAGGUAGGGCAGCUCAGGCUUCUGCUUCCUUAAACAUCAAGUACAAAGUUUCUGUUUAUCAAAUCACGCUGCAAGUGCAACAAAUGUACUCAAACUCUGCUUUCCACAGAAAGGUUCGAGACUUAAAUUUUUCUGCUCUUUCAAUCUGUAUCAGUUUUUCCUGUUGCUUUAAACAGGAAUUUUCCUUUUGGUUUCAUCCCUGCAGCACACUCAGCAGCAGUGCAAUCUUCACUUGCCAACACUACUGGGUUACAGCGAAUCCAGGACACUACAGCAGCCAAGUGCUCCUUAUGUGGGUGUUGUUAGCUCAGUCCUCCCUCCCCCAACCCCAUAAAAUGAGGUACAGACCCCAAAAUGCCAUGCUGAGCUCUGCUGUUGGCAUGGUGAGAGACACCAUAAAUCCAGGCUCCCCAGGAGCUGGAAGGGAGCCCAGGGAGGUGCUGACUGACCCUCAGCCACCAAAAUCUCCCGGGUACCUCUCCCUCACCUGCCCCCAGUGCUCCCCCUCACCCAGCCCAGUCUAGAAAAUACACCAACUGCCACAGUUCUACUGUUCCCAUAUUCACACUUACACACCUUGGCCCCUUGUAGGUGUCUGUGCAUCACCCCAACCCAGGACAAAUUUCUCUUCUCUGUAUUAAUACUGAAACAUGCUCACUGGGGCUUUUUACACACUCAGAAGCUUGUUACCCAGCCAGACUCUUUCCCUCUCCCCUCUUUCCAGCCAUGGAUGUGCUCUUCAAAGAGCUCUAUUUACAUGCCAAGUUACAAAGUUCAGCUGCUUCCAAAGCAACGUGGAAAAACUGCAGCUUUUAUGAUUCUACAGUGAGGUUUUUCACAACAUGAAGCAGCUCCUUUGACUAGUUUUUUUAAUUUUUUUUUUAUUUCCAAAUAAGAUUUCACAGUUCAAACCCCCCAAAAAAUCUCAGUCCACCCACAGGCCUUUGAGGGCCUUCAAAAGAGAGCUCUGUGACCUCAAGCAUCGUGUACUGAAUGAACAUCCAUGGAAAAGCUGCUUACAGGUCAGAAACAAGGGUCACCAAAAUCCCCAUAUCCACUGGAGUUUAAACUGUUCUCUAAUGUUUAGGCCUGGCACAGCCUGCCUUAUGCCAGCUUCUGUUGCACCUUUCCAUUUGCUUACUUCAUUCUCUUGCUUCUGAACCUCUGGUAUGGAACCAGUCACGUCUGAAAUUCCAUCAGGACAAACCACAAGGCUGGAUUUGGUCACUCCUUCAGCACCCUUCCUAAGAGUUACCCCUGGGGCUCCUCCAGCCCCCAACACAAGUAUUUCUAGAUGGAAUCUUUCUGCACUUCCCCAAGGCAUUAGGUCCUAGAUUUCCACCCCGUAUUUAACCUGUCAACCACAUGGAGCAAGAACUGGCACUUCAUCAGCAUCAUCUUUGUGCAGAGAUGUCAAUAUUGCCAAUAGUUCAGCAAUAACAACUAGGCUGGAUGAACAGCCCAAGCAAAUAAAACUCCUUUAUAAAAUCAGGACUAACAAAAUCAGCAAGCCUAAGGAUUCUGUUUGAACUAGAAAUGCCAAAGCAGCACCAGACUGGCACCAUCCGUGAUGGGAUUCUGAGAAACAGCAAACUGAAACCAUCAAACCCUCACUGUUAGCAAUCCUUAUCCACUCUUCUCCACAGCUCUCCCUUCAUUCUACACCAACAUGAAGCAAAGGAAAACGAUUGGAAAGUUUCAGAGAGAAGAAAAUGCUACAUGCCAAGAACUUCCAGAGGCAAGUCCAACUUCCUAAAAACGACCAGGAAUUUAGUAGGAGCUACAGCCAGCCCCUGUCUGCUGACAUGGAUUUCUCCUUCCUCUCUGCACCAGCGGGAAAUAACACACCCAGCUUUUCCACCUUUCUGAUGGCUGUUUCAAUUCUUGGAAAACACUUUUGUGAGACACAACCUUGUGCACAGGCAGGAAUAGAGCAAUGCAGCCUCUCCAGAGACACCACCAGGCCUUCCUCCCUUCCCAUUCCAAAAGUUUUUAUGGCCUCCCCUCCAAGUACAGACAGAACUGCUCCAUCCUCCUUCCUUCCUUCCUUCCUUCCUCUCUGCCUCCGGUGCUGCUUCCUUUGGGUCUCAGAAAUGGUUACCCUGUCUUUAAAAAUCAGAGAAAACCAGACCAAGGUUUGCAAACAGUCCUUCCUUCUCUGUUCUUUCUAAGGAUGUUAGAAAGUAUUGUGCAUGAAUGGAAGAAACUAUUUUCAUUUUCUGUCUUUACCCUACAAGGCCAGGCUUCAAAUGCUUGUUAGAACACCCAGCUAUUUUAAAUUAAGUUAAAUAGCCCAGCUAUUUUAAUUAACGUACAGUUUCACAGACAUUUUUUGGAACUGCAGAUCUGAAAUACCUGCUGUUCCUGACAAGAAUCCCCACUUAAGUCUGUCUCUGCUUUAACCACACUUAGCAUUUAUGAGUUUCCAGGACAAAGUACGAUAAAACUUCUAAAAACUCUUAAUGAACUAUAGGACACAGAUAAGGAAAAAAAUAAUUCAGACACAUCCAGGACCCCCAUGUCACAAAUUUCCUGUUCUGCCCUGCCCUGUGCAGGAGCUGUUUGGAAUGUUCGCUCUCUUCUUUCUGUAAAUCAUAUGGCACCAUUUUCAGAGCCAUGUAAAUAAAUAAUAAGACAUCUAGCCAGAUAA